rnacentral:rRNA from 1 species
CCUACGGGAGACAGCAGUGGGGACUAUUGCACAAUGGGCGAACCCCUGAUGCAGCGACGCCGCGUGAGUGAAGAAGUAAUUCGUUAUGUAAAGCUCUAUCAGCAGGGAAGAAAAUGACGUUACCUGAUUAAGAAUCCCCUGCUAACUCCGUCCCAGCAGCCGCGGUAAUACGUAGGGUGCAAGCGUUAUCCGGAUUGACUGGUGGUAAAGGGAGCGUAGACGGCAGGGCAAGUCUGGAGUGAAAGGCGUGGGCUCAACCGCCGGACUGCUCUGGAAACUGUACGGCUGGAGUGCAGGAGAGGUAAGUGGAAUUCCUAGUGUAGGGGUGAAAUGCGGAGAUAUUAGGAGGAACAGCAGUGGCGAAGGCGGCUAACUGGACUGUAACUGACGUUGAGGCUCGAAAGCGUGGGGAGCAAACAGGAUUAGAUACCCUUGUAGUC